CGCACUUCAAGGGCCAAGAAAUCCAUCGAGAUCGGAUAACUUUACAAAUACUAGAUUUCCCAUACAAUACUUAUUCUACCUAUCGACUACAAUGUUCGACCAGCGACAUAAAGUAAACCACUAUUGUAAUCUUACAAUCACAAAGCACUCUGUUAUCUAUGAUGGUCACCACGCAACAAAGAAUGCCAACACUGGUUCAAAACCGGAACAUGCUGUUACAGCUGCUUGCAGCAACAAAGUCCAAAUAACAGAUGGCAAAUCUACGAAUAAAAAUGGUGAACGCCAAUGGCGUUUCACGGCAUAAACUUAAAUGAAAAUCAUAGCGACUUUAUGCUACUGAUUUUGCUGUGACAUAAAACAUUCCCCGCAAUAUAAUAAGCGCCAAGGCGCUUUCAGAGCUGUCGUCAAACCAAUUACUCUUUUUCAAAGCCCAAAAACUACAGAUCGUCUGUGGCUACAAUAUAAAAAGUAUUUAAGCUCACACAUCAAAUUAAUCCCUAAGUUCAACUUUGAAGCGGACAUCGAAUGCUCUACCGAUGCUCUUGAAGAAAUAUUCGCGGAGGCAGUCACUAUCUCAACACCCAUGGCAGCGUCGUUCAAAACGACCACUUCAAAACUAAUCUGCAAUUGAACGGCUAGUCCUAGAGGCGCCUGCGACAUGCUUGGCAAACAGACAGAUCGCCGUCAUCAAAACAACGUCUUAAGAAAUCCAUACGCACACUAAAUCGAGCUUUAAAGCAAGAAACAAAACACCCUCUGUGGAGGGCUCACCCAAAUCUGAGCUCUCCUUCGAAACAAUCCGAUAAGCAAUCUAUCAGGUAGCUGGGUCCGCAGCGACGAAGAUAGAGCCGAAACUUUUGCUUCACAUCUCCGGGACAACUUCCAGGCGAACCCUGCCAUUCCUUUUCUAUUUGUUUGUUCAGCCAAAGAAGACCGCAAAAGUCGUUGGGGAACUGAAACCGAAGAAGGCUUCUGGCGGUAACCAAAUAAACCCAAAAAUGUUCAUUGAACUUCUUAACUCUGCCAUUGAGGUUAUUUGUCAGCUCUUCAAUGCACAGUGGUUGAUUCCAUAGGCCAAAUGUAAAAAAACAGAAGUCCGAAAUCGGUAACUUUUUGUCUUUCAAUUUUUUCCUAAUAGAGCAAUAAAACGAACAGUAUUUUCA